rnacentral:lncRNA from 1 species
GGCUGGGGGGCUGUCCCUACAGCCCCAAAUCCCCCACAUCCCUGACCCCCCCAGCCCCUAACCCCUGCCCCGUCUGUCCCACAGCGUGCGGAGGGCAGCUCCCGCGGCGCCUGGAUUCCCGUGAGCACUCAGGAGGCUGGGGGAGCCAGGCCAGGAGAAUCCUUCACGCUGCCCACGGAGGAGGAAGGAGCGUCCGCCAGGAGAGGGAACACGGCCAGACAGGUGAUGGAGAGCCUGGGACCCCCCCAAAUCCCUGCCGCCUCCCCCCAGGAGAGCCGUGUGGCAUCCCUGCUGUGCACCUCCGAGCCCUGGGGGGGGACGCGGUGUCCCCAGGACCCCAUCCCUGGCCUCAGGGGGAAGGUUUCCCUUGGGGAUUAGGGAAAAAAGCUCCCCAUUUUCUGCUCGCAACCCUCUGAUGCUGGUGCCGUCCUCCCCCCAGCUCUCUUCCCCCAGCCGCUCCCCGCUCCCGGUGCUCCCCUCGUCCCCGUGCUGAAGCUGUCACACGCCGAGGAGGAGGAGGAGGAGGAGGAGGAGAAAGAGGAGGGUGAGUGCCUUCCACGUGCUUUUUGGCACCGUCCCUUUUACCCCUGCUCUCCGCUCCCCAGCACCCGGGGGUGCCCAAAUGGGGCUGCGAAGGGCCGGGUAGGGGGGUGCCGGGGGGGGGGCUGCUCACAGGCGGGUGCUGCCUGCAGGGCAGGACGGGCACCUCCUCACUGCCACCACCACCCUGGAGUACGACAGCACCUACGCGGAUGAGGAAGAGGAGGAGGAGGAGGAGGACUACGAGGCCACCCUGGAGCAGCCCGCUGCGGACGCCUCUCCCUGCGGGCAGCCCCUGGAGGAGGGGGGCUGUGAGCGCUACACCCUGCGCUGGUACUACAGCCAGAGAGGCGCCGAGUGCCGGCCCUUCGUCUACAGCGGCUGCGGGGGCAACGCCAACCGCUUCGGCAGCCGCCGCGACUGCGAGCUGCGCUGCGGGGGGCACGCGGGGACAGGUAGGCACGGCACAACACGGCACAGCCUGGCACCGAGAGGGGAAAACGCUCUGAUUCCCCCUCGCCUCUCUCCGUAGGUGCCCCCCGGGAUGGGCAGCCGGAGGUGUAGGGUGGGCAGCGUGUCCCCCCCCCUCUCCACCCCGACCCGCGGGGGCUGCCCGGCUGCUGUUGGGGUUGGAGCGGGGCUGCCCCGUGCGCACCCCUCCUGCAGGAACCUGGUGCUAUUUCU